rnacentral:rRNA from 1 species
UACGAAGGGGGCUAGCGUUGUUCGGAAUUACUGGGCGUAAAGCGUGCGCAGGCGGCUUCUCAAGUCAGGGGUGAAAGCCCAGAGCUCAACUCUGGAAUUGCCUUUGAGACUGAGUGGCUUGAGUACGGGAGAGGUGAGUGGAAUUCCCAGUGUAGAGGUGAAAAUUCGUAGAUAUUGGGAAGAACACCGGUGGCGAAGGCGGCUCACUGGCCCCGUAACUGACGCUCAUGCACGACAGCGUGGGGAUCAAACAGG